rnacentral:siRNA from 1 species
GCAAAGGUAUGUGCCGCGUG